rnacentral:sRNA from 1 species
UGUUUCGACUUGUUGCGGGCAAAUCCAGUGGAUGUGGGUGUCGAUACCUCCCGCAGUGAGAAUCUGCCCUUCCCCUGCAAUUACUUCGGUUGCGGCGCCUAGUGGAAUGGUAAUAUCUGGCUGAAUGUCAGGAUUACCAGCUUUACCAAUUUUCCAGAUUCGGCCAUUUUUAAGACCAACAUCGGCUUUGACAAUACCCCACCAAUCCACAAUCAAGGCAUUGGUAAUCACCGUAUCGGCAACUUCAUCUGCCAAGAGUUGCGAUUGUCCCAUCCCAUCACG